AUGUCACAAUCGAGCUCUUCAUCUGAUGAGAACAGAAACACCACCAAGGAUGCACUUUCACAUUCCGCUGGUCCCACGACCAUCCCUCCAACGCCGAACGUCGCACCUGAGCCCCAGGCUUCUUCACGCGGCCGUACACCGGCCCGAACAGCCCUACGCUCACCAAGACGCCGAGGCCAGUCUUCACCACCCCCGGCAAGGCUUCCACCUUCUUCCCCGGCCUCCUCCUACCGCUCGACCGUCCCAACGAUCCCACCUAUCGGGAAGUGGACCGUAGCUGGAUUGAGAGAAGCGCUCGGCAACUCAGACAUACAGGCUUCGCGAAAAAUGAACAAAGCGGAGCUGUAUGAUCUGUACGUUUCCCUACAGUCGACUCCAAAGAUGACCCACAGGCAGAGCAAAGCCCGCAGGGCCCAAAAUUCGCCUGCCCAGCAACCACCGUCGUGUUCCCGCACAGGAUCUGGCUCGCUUCACCCAUCGAGCUGCAGAAACAGGUCUUCAGCGAGCCUAGGCCGCGCCCCAGAUUCCGCCAUGGCAGGUCCACACCCACCUCCCGAUGAGGCCCAGCCCUCCACCACGGUUUCUGCUGCCGCAGUGCCGCAUGCAGCUGGGCCCAGCAGCCCCCCCACAGCCACUCAGUUUCAUACUCCUGCUGUACAUAACCCUUUUUCUUUUCAGUGGCCUACAGCCCCCGUUGGAGACACUAGCGCGAGGCCAUCGCUGCUAGUAGCACAGACCCAAGGAUACCAACAAGUCUACCCACCAGGUUAUAACCCCGCCCACUUUCAGUGGCCUGCGGCUCCAGUAGCUCAAACAAGCGCAGGCCCACCUCCGCUUGCAGUUCAAGCCCACACUUCAAAUUAUAAUCCUCCCUGUUCGUCAUACCCUCCAACUAACUUUCCUUUUCAAACCACAGCGGGUCAUCUAAGCGUGAGGCCGCCGCCAACAUUCGCAGCCCCGGAUUAUACCCUUCCUAGCUCUCUCAUACAAACUAAAUCACCUUAUUCUCUCUUCACAGCGACUCCGAUGCCUGUUCCAUCCAACGCAGUCGUCAUGGAACCACCACAGGUAUCCCAAAGCAUCCGCUCACAGAUCCUAUCAGAUGCGGAUAUAGACCUUUCCUCUCUUCUCCCUCUACUCCCCGCAGCGGAACCAGACCGCCGUAUAGAUUGCGGUGAUUUUUCAGUUACCCUAAAAAAUACAAAGACUCACUCAUCUCGCGUUCUUUCAUUUCCUGAAUUUGCAAUUGCUUUUUCUCGUUUCACUGAAAUCAUCAGUUCAGCUUUCCCCCACAGGCGGCGCGAACUGAAUGAUUAUCAAGCAAUCAUAGCGGAGCUCACGCUGUCCUAUGGGGGUGGGCACUUCUACACGUACCAUAAACUCUUCUCAGCAAAAAGUGCAGUGCGAGUCGCAUACUGUGGCGCACUCGACUCUGAUCUCCACAGCAGAGUUUUUAGGUUGCAAAAAUAUCACUUGCGCAGUUUGCAGGUCAGUUACGCACUCAACCGCAUCGUGCCCGCAGGUUAA
rnacentral:lncRNA from 1 species